GCGUUGGUGGUAUAGUGGUUAGCGUAGCUGCCUUCCAGGCAGUUGACCCGGGUUCCAUUCCCGGGCAACACA
rfam:Nematostella vectensis strain CH2 x CH6 NEMVEscaffold_125_Cont14358, whole genome shotgun sequence.